CCAAAGUUUUGCUUGUUUAAGUUUCGCCACUCGAGUAACAAUUAUGAAUUUCAAAUAAAACAAUAAGUGUUUUUGAAGUAAUUUGCAGUGCCGGAUGAAAAUGAAAGAACCAAAAUAACAUAAUAACAGGGACCUCUAGGUAAGAUUCCCAGAUAUUUUACUACCGCCUCAGUCGUUAGUUGUCUAUUGCUUGAACCAAAAUAUCUACUAUUCCUAUCCGGAGAAGUGCACUGCCCAAGCUAUCCUUCUUCCGUUCUUAUCUUUAAUCCCUUAGGGGCCAAGCUUCCCUCGGCUGAUCUGUAUCUGCUCCCAAGUUCCAACAGUGUAGAAGUGCACUAUAAAUACACCUCCUGUUGGAGCCUCUCUGCCAUCUCCCCAUCAAGCUAGCCUCUCUCCAUUUCUUUCGGUUUCAUCCAUAGGGAAAACUCUGCUUCUGCUCUUGGGAUUAGACAGCAAUUUUCGUUCUUAGAAGAUAGAAAAAGGAAGCUGCGUGGAAAUAUUUUAAGGUGUCCCAGAGAGGGUGAUCAGAGGUCCAGGAGCGGCACAAGUCUAAUCAACGAGGAGACUCAAGAUGGAUGGUGGGAACAUGAACAAUGUGAAUGGUACUAGCAAUAGCUACUCUGGGGACGUGGUCCGUAAUGUAGAUGGACAAGACCAUCUGACCCAUUUACUUGCUGAUAUUAUUGAAAAGCAAGAAAUAACCCAACAAAGGCAAAUACAAAUAGUAGAACACAUUGCGAGGAGUGAUGGGAAACGUAAUAGACUUGGAGAUUUUCAAAAGUUAAGGCCUCCAACAUUUCUUGGUACAUCUAAUCCUUUGGAAGCUGAAGAUUGGAUUAUUGCCAUGGAAAAAGCCUUCGAUGCAAUGAGUUGUACUGACAACGAGAGAGUUUCCUUCGCAAUGUACAUGCUACAGUCUAGUGCGUUCGAGUGGUGGGAUGCUCAUAGGAAGUCUUACGAGCAAGAUGUUCAAAUUACAUGGAAGUUAUUUAAGGAAGCUUUCUAUCAAAAGUAUUUUCCAGAAAGUGUUAAAAGGAUAAAAGAGAAGGAAUUCCUUGAAUUAAAACAAGGGCACAAGUCAGUUUCAGAUUAUGAAAUUGAGUUUUCUAGACUUGCUCGAUUUGCCCCUGCUUUUGUUCAAACUGAUAGUUCAAAGGCCCGACGGUUUGAGAGUGGAUUGUGCCAACCUCUUAAACGACGUGUCGAAGCCUUUGAGUUGAACUCUUUCAGGGAGGUUGUGAACAAAGCUCAACUCUUAGAAAAAGGUUACCAUGACGAAGUGGAGGAGGUGCAACAAAAAUCAAAGAAGCCCAAAUUCAAUAUGCAUCAACAUGAGGAGGACUUUCAAGAAGAAGUGAGGUUUUCAAUGUCUACGGGUCAAGUUUCUAAUGCCCGCGAAAUACCAUGUCCUAUUUGCAAUGGAGAUCACCCUCCUCAUUUUUGUCCAUACCGUUGGGGAAGAUGCUACAAGUGUGGACAGGCCGGACACACUCAAAAUCGGUGUCCAUCUCUGAAGCUGAAUAUCCCUAUAGCUCAAGUCGCUCCAUCAAAACCAGCAUUAUUACCGGCGCCUGCACAACCUUUGUAUUUGACUGGACCCAGUCUGCUAAAUAAUUCAUCAUGUCAAGCUCCGGCGCCAAAUAAGGUUCCUCACGGACAAACAAAUAAGGGAGAGAAAAAUGUUGGAAGAAAUCAUGCCCAAGUCUAUAAUAUAAUCAAGACUAACAAAGAGGAGCCUGAUAAGGAAAUACCAGGUAACAUCUAAGAUUGCACGAUUAUAAUGUGUCCUUUUCUUGGCUCGGAAAAAAAAUAUCUCAAGCAAUAUAGCAAGGCUAGUAAUAGUGCAAUUGUAAAACAUAGCUUACUCUAUAUUAUAUUUGAAAUUUCGAGACGAAAUUUUUAUAAGAAGGGAGGAAUGUUAUGACCCAAAGUUUUGCUUGUUUAAGUUUCGCCACUCGAGUAACAAUUAUGAAUUUCAAAUAAAACAAUAAGUGUUUUUGAAGUAAUUUGCAGUGCCGGAUGAAAAUGAAAGAACCAAAAUAACAUAAUAACAGGGACCUCUAGGUAAGAUUCCCAGAUAUUUUACUACCGCCUCAGUCGUUAGUUGUCUAUUGCUUGAACCAAAAUAUCUACUAUUCCUAUCCGGAGAAGUGCACUGCCCAAGCUAUCCUUCUUCCGUUCUUAUCUUUAAUCCCUUAGGGGCCAAGCUUCCCUCGGCUGAUCUGUAUCUGCUCCCAAGUUCCAACAGUGUAGAAGUGCACUAUAAAUACACCUCCUGUUGGAGCCUCUCUGCCAUCUCCCCAUCAAGCUAGCCUCUCUCCAUUUCUUUCGGUUUCAUCCAUAGGGAAAACUCUGCUUCUGCUCUUGGGAUUAGACAGCAAUUUUCGUUCUUAGAAGAUAGAAAAAGGAAGCUGCGUGGAAAUAUUUUAAGGUGUCCCAGAGAGGGUGAUCAGAGAUCAAUUUUAGGAUCAAGUGGCGACGGCUGAAAAUCCAUAUGACGGCAUAUAGCGUAUAAGUGGAGCGGGAUAUUAAUAAAAGAAAAUAUCACUAGUGUUGUAAUAAAUAAGUUGUACUUGUAAUAUUUGAUAAUGAAUAAAGUGGAGACCUUGCUUGGCA